AUUGAACGCUGGCGGCAUGCCUUACACAUGCAAGUCGAACGGUAACGCGGGGCAACCUGGCGACGAGUGGCGAACGGGUGAGUAAAGCAUCGGAACGUGCCCAGUAGUGGGGGAUAACCCGGCGAAAGCCGGAUUAAUACCGCAUACGACCUACGGGUGAAAGCGGGGGACCGAAAGGCCUCGCGCUAUCGGAGCGGCCGAUGUCAGAUUAGGUAGUUGGUGGGGUAAUGGCCUACCAAGCCAACGAUCUGUAGCUGGUCGGAGAGGACGACCGGCCACACUGGGAAUGGGACACGGCCCAGACUCCUACGGGAGGCAGCAGUGGGGAAUUUUGGACAAUGGGGGAAACCCUGAUCCAGCCAUGCCGCGUGCGGGAAGAAGGCCUUCGGGUUGUAAACCCCUGUCGAGUGGGACGAACGGGUUAGGCGAACAGCCGAAGCCCUUGACUGUACCACUGGAGGAAGCCACGGCUAACUCUGUGCCAGCCGCCGCAGUAAUAC
rnacentral:rRNA from 1 species